CGCGGAAGUGAGGGAGGCGGGGAUCCCGGAGAGUGCGCCCUUAGCCCUGCGUGGACUCCCACCUGGGAUACCUGGGACGUCCGGACCUCCUGCUGGCACAGGCUGCGCCUCCGCUCCCAACUCUGCCAGGUGCUGAAACUGUUGUUCCCAGAUUAGCUGCAGACGAGAGCAGAACUUUCAAUGGGAAUUUUAAAGAAAUGGGAUCAACAUCCAGAAGUAUUUCUUCAAAGAAAUUGCCAUAGGAGCUGAAACACAGCUUUACCCAUACCAUCCUGAAGACAAAGCACAAUCAAAUAAAUGGCUACCAAGGGUGGAAGUGGCCCCGUCAGAGCACAAGCAGACCGGCCAAGAGCAAAGGUCAUGGCAGCAGUGUUUUGGGAUGCUCACGGCAUAGUGUUUGUUGACUUCUUGAAGGGCCAGAGAACGGUAACAUCUGCUUCUUAUGAGAGUGCUUUUAAAAAGUUAGCCAAAGCUUUAACAGAGAGACACCUGAGAAAGCUUCACCAACCAGUCCUCCUCUACCACAACAAUGCUCCUGCUCAUUCUUCUCAUCAAGUAAGGGUGAUUUUGCUAGAGUUUCGAUGGUAAAUAUUUAGCCAUCCACCUUACAGUCCUGAUUAAGCUCAUUCUGACUUCUUUACUUCCUAAUAUUUAAAAAAUCUGUAAAGGGCACCCUGUUUUUUCCAGUUAAUAAUGUAAAAAAGACUGCACUGACAUGGUUAAAUUCCCAGGACACUUAGUUCUUUAGGGAUGGACUAAAUUAAUGGUAUCAUUGCUUACAGAAGUGUCUGGAACUUGAUGGAACUCGUGUUGAGAGAUAAAAUCAUAUUUUAAACUUUUAUCUCUUAAAUCCAUUUUUUCAUAAACUUUUUAAAGUCCUCUCAUAUGUGAGAAAUGUUCUAAAUUACAUCUUAUAGUUAGUUAUCAUAGACAUAUGGAAAGGCUGUUUAUUUGAUUCUAUUAAUCAGUAUAUUCAUCAUCAUGCUAAACUUGGGGCUAAGGAUUAAUGCUAAACUGGGCCUAAGUAUAAGAUAGUGGUAAUGGUUCUGAAAUUUAUUAUUACAUAAUGUAUAAUGUAACAAUGUUAUUUUUCUGACUUGGAUAGGCAUUUUGUAACUGUGUGGGAGAAACCCCUCAUAAAAAAUGCAUAAAAAAUGUACACUGAGGCCAUUUGGGGGGGAUGGAACAUUGUGACCUCAACUUAUUCUCAAAUGAUUGGGGUGGGGGAAAGCAUUUUAUUGUAGUUCAAGUGACAAUUUUUUUGUAUGUUUGAGAUUUCCUAAAGUGUAUUAAAAAUAAUAUUUGGAUGGGUA